UGUGUGAUUUAGGUAGUUUCAAGUUGUUUGGCUGGAUGCUUAAGAUCACAGGGACCUGAAACGGCCUUAAUCACACCA
rnacentral:pre_miRNA from 1 species